GACGAACGCUGGCGGCGUGCUUAACACAUGCAAGUCGAACGCUGAAGCUUGGUGCUUGCACUGGGUGGAUGAGUGGCGAACGGGUGAGUAAUACGUGAGUAACCUGCCCUUGACUCUGGGAUAAGCCUGGGAAACUGGGUCUAAUACUGGAUACGACAUGUCACCGCAUGGUGGUGUGUGGAAAGGGUUUUACUGGUUUUGGAUGGGCUCACGGCCUAUCAGCUUGUUGGUGGGGUAAUGGCUCACCAAGGCGACGACGGGUAGCCGGCCCGAGAGGGUGACCGGCCACACUGGGACUGAGACACGGCCCAGACUCCUACGGGAGGCAGCAGUGGGCAAUAUUGCACAAUGGGCGGAAGCCUGAUGCAGCGACGCCGCGUGAGGGAUGACGGCCUUCGGGUUGUAAACCUCUUUCAGCACGGAAGAAGCGAAAGUGACGGUACGUGCAGAAGAAGCGCCGGCUAACUACGUG
rnacentral:rRNA from 1 species